GCGGUAUUGGUGAAGUGGUUAACACGCUAGAUUGUGGCUCUAGUACUCGUGGGUUCGAUUCCCACAUAUCGCCCCA
rnacentral:tRNA from 1 species